CCUACGGGUGGCAGCAGUGGGGAAUAUUGCGCAAUGGGCGAAAGCCUGACGCAGCGACGCCGCGUGAGGGAUGAAGGUCUUCGGAUCGUAAAGCUCUGUCAGCAGGGAAGAACGGUCACUGUGCUAAUCAGCAGUGAAUUGCCGGUACCUGCAAGGGAAGCACCGGCUAACUCCGUGCCAGCAGCCGCGGUAAUACGGAGGGUGCGAGCGGUAAUCGGAAUUACUGGGCGGAAAGCGCUCGUAGGCGGUAUGUCAAGUCAAGGGUGAAAGCCCCGCGCUCAACGUGGGAACUGCCUUUGAAACUGGCAAACUGGAGUGUGGGAGAGGAUAGUGGAAUUCCAGGUGUAGCGGUGAAAUCCGUAGAUAUCUGGAGGAACAUCAGUGGCGAAGGCGACUAUCUGGCACAUAACUGACGCUGAGGUGCGAAAGCGUGGGUAGCAAACAGGAUUAGAUACCCCUGUAGUC
rnacentral:rRNA from 1 species